ACGGCUCACCAAGGCUACGACGGGUAGCUGGUCUGAGAGGAUGUCCAGCCACACUGGGACUGAGACACGGCCCAGACUCCUACGGGAGGCAGCAGUUAGGAAUCUUGCGCAAUGGGCGAAAGCCUGACGCAGCGACGCCGCGUGCGGGAUGAAUGCCUUCGGGUUGUAAACCGCUUUCAGCAGGGACGAAAUUGACGGUACCUGCAGAAGAAGCCCCGGCCAACUACGUGCCAGCAGCCGCGGUAAUACGUAGGGGGCGAGCGUUGUCCGGAUUUAUUGGGCGUAAAGAGCUCGUAGGUGGUUUGGUAAGUCGGAUGUGAAAUCUCCAGGCUCAACCUGGAGGGGUCAUUCGAGACUGCUAUGACUAGAGUUCGGUAGAGGAGUACGGAAUUCCUGGUGGAGCGGUGAAAUGCGCAGAUAUCAGGAGGAACACCCGUAGCGAAGGCGGUACUCUGGGCCGACACUGACACCGAGGAGCAAAAGCGUGGGGAGCGAACAGGAUUAGAUACCCUGGUAGUCCACGCCGUAAACGUUGGGCACUAGGUGUGGGGUUCUAUCGACGGAUUCCGUGCCGUAGCUAACGCAUUAAGUGCCCCGCCUGGGGAGUACGG
rnacentral:rRNA from 1 species